GAGGUGGGACAUGCUGUUGACUGAAUCAUUGAGAUUCUCAGGAAUAAUGGCAAUAAAACCCUAUCCUACAUCUAUACGUGAUUUCACUAUCAAGAUGAGGCACAUAAAGCACAGUAUCAUGUGGGUCAGUCUUGUGGUCAUCCUGCCUCUCCUCUGGAAAGGUAUCUCAAGCCAGGUCAUACAUCUUCAAGGUUAUUCUAUUGAAGUGGCUUCCAGUGUCAGAGUACAGGAGGGUCUCUGCGUCACGAUUCCUUGUAACUUCACUGCUGGCGGCAGAAAUACAUUCAGUAAUUCCUUUGGAUACUGGAGAGAUCCCAAUUCAGAUUCUUUCCUAGCCAGUAAUGAUAAAUCUAGUGCCGUGAAAAAAACAAACUUCCAUCUGACUGGAAAUCCAGAUUCCGGAGACUGCACCCUGACCAUAACUGACGCCAGAAGAGAAGAUGAGGGGGAAUAUUUCUUUAGAUUUGAAGAAAGCAAAGACAGUAAUGUGAAAUAUAGUUAUACCCGAGAAAGAAAAACCUCUGUUACUGUGACUGCUCCUGUCACAUCCGAUGUUGGGAGAUUAAUUGCUGGAAGAAGUAAGACUUUGACCUGUGCUCCUCCUGGGGACUGCUCUGAGAAAUCAAUAGAUUUCCAAUGGAAGAAGAGUAAUGUGGCUGGUGUCUGGAAGAAUUCAUCUACAGUCACAUUCACCCCAUCUCUAGAUGAUCACCAGGAAACCAUCACAUGUGAGAUUACAAAUAUCCAGGGGAUGAAAACUCAAAAAAACAUUCUUCUUGAUGUCUGCUGUCCUACAUCUAUUAUGAUCACAGGGGAGAUAAAUGGAAACAAAGAGAAUAUAAUAGACCUUAUAAAAGUGGAUGAAGGUUCAUCAAUGACAUUGACCUGCUCAGUACAAAGUAAUCUAACACUUAAUAUGACCUGGUCGGAUGAGAAGAACAAUGUUCUCCAGCAAGGAAAUGGAAAGAAGCUAGAACUCAGACUAGAAAACAUAACAUUGAACCAUACCGGUGUCUACACAUGCUCAACAUUGACUGAAAAUGUGAUAAAAAGCACAAAAAUUAAUGUAAUUGUACACCACCCACCUAGAAAUAUGAAAAUCACCAUUCAUUCAUCCAAAGGCAGAGAACAUCUAGCAAGUCAACAAGUCGGUAUUGAUUCAACUGAAACAUUGACCCUUGUCUGCAGUGUUGAAGGCAACCCAAAUGCUACUGUGGUCUGGGUAAAGGGGGAAUUUGACAUAGAGACAUCUAAUAAUGGUCGUACGUCAGCAAUGAUAAAUGUGAUGCCAUCAACAGCUAAUGUCUACCGAUGCUUGGCAUGGAAUACACUUGGGCUGAGUGAACAACGUAUUCAAGUUUGCACAAAAUGGGCUUGUAUAACUGCAACCAUGGAUUUGACCGUCAUUAUUGGGAUGGCUAUUGGCAAUGUUGGUGCCCUCAUCAUAAUUUUUGUGGGAUCCUGUUUCUGUAUGAAGCAACGCAUGAAGAAAAAGCAGUUAGUGAAGAAACCCACAAACCCCAGGAAACAAAGAAAAGAAUCCACAUAUCAGGCACAAGACAACAGUGGGAAUGAAGAAAAUAUCUACUGCAACACUUUGGCAUAAUAAUAAUGAAGACCUCCAUGAUGUUACUUCCAAUUUCUUGCAGCAACAUAAAAUAGUCAUUAUUACUGGAAUCAAACCUGCACCACUGUUUCCACAGCUAGUGGAAAACUAACACUCCCAGUAAAACUUGAUUUAGGCCUCAUGCACACGACCGUUUUUCGGGUCCGCAUCCGAGCCACAGUUUUUGCGGCUUGGGUGCGGACCUAUUCA